GACGAACGCUGGCGGCGUGCUUAACACAUGCAAGUCGAACGGAAAGGCCCUGCUUUUGUGGGGUGCUCGAGUGGCGAACGGGUGAGUAACACGUGAGUAACCUGCCCUUGACUUUGGGAUAACUUCAGGAAACUGGGGCUAAUACCGGAUAGGAGCUCCUGCUGCAUGGUGGGGGUUGGAAAGUUUCGGCGGUUGGGGAUGGACUCGCGGCUUAUCAGCUUGUUGGUGGGGUAGUGGCUUACCAAGGCUUUGACGGGUAGCCGGCCUGAGAGGGUGACCGGCCACAUGGGGACUGAGAUACGGCCCAGACUCCUACGGGAGGCAGCAGUGGGGAAUAUUGCACAAUGGGCGGAAGCCUGAUGCAGCAACGCCGCGUGCGGGAUGACGGCCUUCGGGUUGUAAACCGCUUUCGCCUGUGACGAAGCGUGAGUGACGGUAAUGGGUAAAGAAGCAACGGCUAACUACGUG
rnacentral:rRNA from 1 species